AGAUUGAACGCUGGCGGCAGGCCUAACACAUGCAAGUCGAGCGGAAACGAGUUAUCUGAACCUUCGGGGAACGAUAACGGCGUCGAGCGGCGGACGGGUGAGUAAUGCCUAGGAAAUUGCCCUGAUGUGGGGGAUAACCAUUGGAAACGAUGGCUAAUACCGCAUAACGCCUACGGGCCAAAGAGGGGGACCUUCGGGCCUCUCGCGUCAGGAUAUGCCUAGGUGGGAUUAGCUAGUUGGUGAGGUAAGGGCUCACCAAGGCGACGAUCCCUAGCUGGUCUGAGAGGAUGAUCAGCCACACUGGAACUGAGACACGGUCCAGACUCCUACGGGAGGCAGCAGUGGGGAAUAUUGCACAAUGGGCGCAAGCCUGAUGCAGCCAUGCCGCGUGUGUGAAGAAGGCCUUCGGGUUGUAAAGCACUUUCAGUCGUGAGGAAGGUAGUGUAGUUAAUAGCUGCAUUAUUUGACGUUAGCGACAGAAGAAGCACCGGCUAACUCCGUGCCAGCAGCCGCGGUAAUACGGAGGGUGCGAGCGUUAAUCG
rnacentral:rRNA from 2 species